AGAUAGAGUGGGUAACUGCCUAUCGAUUAGAGAUUAGAAGUCUGCAGAGGUCGUAGUACCCCGCUUUAUAAGUGGGGGAAGGAC
rfam:Microgenomates (Collierbacteria) bacterium GW2011_GWA2_42_17 TV06_C0009, whole genome shotgun sequence.